UCUUCUCCCCGCCGCCACACAAUCCCCCUCUCCCCGAAAUCGCUCAUGCUCGAAUCUCUCCCAAAUCUCACGACCCGCCCUCAGCCUCGUCCGCCCGCCCGCCAUUCCCCAAGCCGCGCCUCGCUCUCCUCUCUCCGCCGCCGGUUCCCGUCCUCAGAUCCACGCCCUUCCCUCCCCAGUCUCCACCGACGCCUCCUCCUCGUUUGCUGCGCAGGAGGCGAGUGAGCGGCGGCCCCGCAGGGGCAGGCGUAUCACGGCCGAUGACGGCUUGGCCGAGCUCGAGCCACUAGGCGCCCCCGGCCCAUGCACCGCUCAAGGGCUCCGCGGUGGCGCUGCGGCAGGCGCGCAGGCGCAGAGCCGCGGCGCCGUGGCCGUGCGGGCCGAGGGGCAGAUCCUAGGCGCGAGCGCCUUGCUACCUUGCCUGCGCGGGCACGCGUCUGGCCGGCGGCGCCGCCCAACUCGGAGUCGUCGGCGUCCUCCUCCUCCAGGUGCCGUCGCAGCCGCCGCAACUGCGGCUGCCAGGCGGAGGAGGCGAGGGACUGGGCGGCGCUGCCGCUGGAUGCCAUCUCCACCAUCCUCCGCACGACCAGAUCGAGAUCCUCGUGGGGUCCAGCCUGGUUGCCAUUCCUAGGGCAGUGCGAGGCAUUCUGGGCCGAGUAAGCCGAUGACGAUGUGCUCAAGCUCCUCGGCAAAUAGCGAGAUUUCGAUCCCAUCCCCAAAUUUGAUCCCACUGAGGCAGCUGGGCCUUCGUCCUCUCCACCGCUGCAUUUGGCACAUGCUCGUGUGCAUGACGAAACGAUGAAGCAAUGGAUGAAGGUCGGAGGAGAAGACGCCGUGGGGCUCGGCGCUCAGUGUUUCUUGGAUUUGGAAUAAUUUAAUUUAGUUGUCUCGCUUAGUAUUUCUUUGCUCUAUAUAAUUUUGUCCUUGCUCAAUGAAAUAACAUGCCAACACUGCUGGCUUUAUUUUGGGACAUACGCUAUAUAUAUGUGUGCAGCACAUCAACUUGAGUAGUGCGGUAUAUCAUUUUCAGGGGUGAAGGAUAACAUGUACGAGAUGCUUAAAUUUGUCUAUAAAUUUUGUUCAUCCAAGUGUAGAGACUAAUGUAUUUCUGUUAUGAGAGUGACUGCAGCCACUAAGAUUCAUAUUUCUGACAGUUGAAGGCUACCAAGGGAUCACAAUCUUCCCAAGGUGCAUCAGGUGGGAGGUCUUAGAGGUGGCAUGAUGGUUGAUCAACAAGUGGAUCCGUGCUCAUGGAGACUUCUAUUUUGGGCGGAGACUUCUAUUUUGGGCUGUGCUCAUGUACACUUUUAUUUUGGGCAGUGCUUAUUUGGAAUAUCUAGGCUGACUCCCCUUAUUUUGUAAAUGUGGCUGCUUGUACCGAGGCCGGUGACAAACCCAACAUAUGAUCUAGCUAGCUUGACUUAGCACUGUGACAACAAAUGAUGUCUAUGAUGAAGCUUUGUUGUUCAACCAAUUAUAUAUGUAUUGGGUUCAUAUGAAAACUCUGAGCUCUAUUAUUUUAGUCAAUUCCAUGUUUGAUAUCUGUUGGCUUCAAAUGAAAAACAUGAUCUAUAUAUCUUUA